GUUUACUUAGGCAGCAUAUGCUAAUAUUGGAACAAUACAGAGAAGAUUAGCAUGGACCCUGCACAAGGAUGAUGUGCAAAUGCAUGAAAUGUUUCAUAUUUUU
ensembl:snRNA U6 U6 spliceosomal RNA